UUUUAAAUCACCAAAUAGAUGGGUUAAAAAUAAAACGUCAAGGGAGAUCAUCUCAUGCACACUCUAAAGCUUCUAAGUUUUAUUGCAUGUCUAAGAAUAUCUGUGUCUUCUAUCUUAAAAGGGAAUUCCUAUAACAACAUACGGUACUGCGAUCCCCUGGCUAUUAUCCAAAAGGCAAAGGCUGCAAAGGAAGCUACAGAGGAAGACUUCUUAAUGCAGCCCCCACGUCUACAAUCAUGGUAUCAACACAGAACCCAUCAUGAUGCUGGUGUGAAAAAUGAUAGUAACUCUAAAGCUUCCCUGGGACAGUAA
rnacentral:lncRNA from 1 species